rnacentral:tRNA from 1 species
GUCCAUGUAGCUUAAUUAAGAGUUUAACACUGAAGAUGUUGAGGUAAUCCUGGAUUUUUGGACA